rnacentral:rRNA from 1 species
AGUGAACGUUGGCGGCGUGGAUUAGGCAUGCAAGUCGAGCGAUCGUAGCAGUACGGGAGCGGCAAACGGGGUAGGAAUACAUCGGAACGUACCUUUUGGUUGAGAAUAGCGUUGGGAAACUGACGGUAAUACUCAAUAAAGUCGAGAGACCAAAGGUUUACUGCCGGAAGAGCGGCCGAUGCGAUAUUAGGUAGUUGGUGGGGUAAUGGCCUACCAAGCCGGAGAUGUCUAGGGGGUGUGAGAGCAUGGCCCCCACUACUGGGACUGAGAUACUGCCCAGACACCUACGGGUGGCUGCAGUCGAGGAUCUUCGUCAAUGGGCGAAAGCCUGAACGAGCGACGCCGCGUGCGGGAUGAAGGCCCUUGGGUUGUAAACCGCUGUCAGGGGGGAUGAAACCGUAAGGUUGACAGAGCCCCAGAGGAAGCACGGGCUAAGUUCGUG